CGGUACUUGAAGAAAUGGUUUACCGUCCCACAUACAUUUUGCAUAUGUAUGUGGGACGGUAAACCGCUUCUUGGUAUCC
ensembl:miRNA MIR299 microRNA mir-299